rnacentral:rRNA from 1 species
UGGGGAAUCUUCCGCAAUGGACGAAAGUCUGACGGAGCAACGCCGCGUGAGUGAUGACGGUCUUCGGAUUGUAAAGCUCUGUUAAUCGGGACGAAUGGUUUGUGUGCAAAUAGUGCAUAGACAUGACGGUACCGGAAUAGAAAGCCACGGCUAACUACGUGCCAGCAGCCGCGGUAAUACGUAGGUGGCAAGCGUUGUCCGGAAUUAUUGGGCGUAAAGCGCGCGCAGGCGGACUAGCCAGUCAGUCUUAAAAGUUCGGGGCUUAACCCCGUGAUGGGAUUGAAACUACUAGUCUAGAGUGUCGGAGAGGAAAGUGGAAUUCCUAGUGUAGCGGUGAAAUGCGUAGAGAUUAGGAAGAACACCGGUGGCGAAGGCGACUUUCUGGACGACAACUGACGCUUAGGCGCGAAAGCGUGGGGAGCAAACAGG